CCUCCUCCAGCGGCAGCAUGUGAGCCACCGGCAAGGAGGGAUACCAAUAAGGCGUCCAAUAAGUGUGCCUAGGAAUUGUGACCUUACGAGAGAAAAAUGCAUGAUGCCAUGAACACGGUGGUUGACACACAGUUAUGGUUUGGGCUGCCUUUGUUUCACUUGUUCCUGACCUCGUGUAUUCUUGUACAUCAGUGGAAAUGACUGUGGUUUCAACUGUGAAGUUCAAUGGCUGGAGAGAUGGCUCACCACUUGCUGCCCUUGAAGAUGACCUGGACUCCAUUCCCGGCACCCACACGGCACCUCACAGCCACAUGGGACUCCAUUCUCAGAGGAUCCAACACUGUCUUCUGGUGGCAAUUCAUUGUGAUAAAAAUCCCUCUUGAAUCCUAAGAGACUGGAACUUUUGUUGGACUCUCAACCCGAGUUAAUAAUACAUCUUGAGGUUGCUAAGGACUGAGAACUACUAUCCUGCUGGGUACUCAGUGCAUUUGUUUAACCUGCCAUUAAGAGAACAAUGUAACAAUCAAUCUUACCUGCUGUGGAUUUCCUAUGUAAUCAACUUUUAUGACCCAAGCUAAUGUAUAACUACAAUCUUCAAGCAAGUACUGUU
rnacentral:lncRNA from 1 species